rnacentral:rRNA from 1 species
GGGAAACUGGGGUCAAUAUCCGAUAGGUGAAAAUUCCUGGAAAGGUUUUUUGCCCAAAGGGCGUUUGGAGCAUGCUUUCAAGCGUUGCCUAAGGAUGGGGCCGCGACCGAUCAGGUUGUUGGUGAGGUAAUGGCUCACCAAGCCUAUUACCGGUUCGGGCCGUGGGAGCGGUAGCCCGGAGAUGGGUCCUGAGACAAGAACCCAGGCCCUACGGGGCGCAGCAGUCGCGAAAACUUCGCAAUAAGCGAAAGCUUGACGGGGCUUUCCCGAGUGCCGUCUGCUGAAGGAUGGCUUUUACCCAGUAUAGAUUAGCUGGGAGGAAAUAAGGAGAGGGCAAGUCUUGGUGUCAGGCCCGCCGGCGGUAAUACCAGGCCUCUCCCGGUGUGGUUGGGAUAUUUAUUUGGGCCUGAAGCCAUCCGUAGCCCGGCUGGACAAGUCCCCUUGUUUAAACCCCAGCGAUUUAAUCCGUUGGUCUGGGGGGGGAUUACUUGUUCCCGGCUUGGGGGGCGAGAAAAGGCCCGUCCGGUAUUUUCCCGGGGUAAGGGGUGAAAAUCCCUUAUAAAUCCCCGGGGAGGACCACCCAGUGGCGAAAGGCUGUCCGGCUUAGAAACCGCCCUUCGACGGUGAAGGGAAUGAAAGCUUGGGGGAGCGAACCCGGAUUAAGAUACCCGGUUAGUCCCAAGCUGUAAACGAUGCAGGCUAGGUGUUUAGAGCGGCUACGUGCCGCUCUAGUGCCCGCAGGGAAAGCUUGUUAAGCCUGCCGCCUUGGGAGUUACGCCGCAAGCCUGAAACCUUAA